rnacentral:siRNA from 1 species
CCUUGCGGUGUUCAAAACAGAAGC